UACGAAGGGUGCAAGCGUUAUUCGGAAUCAUUGGGCGUAAAGCGCGCGCAGGCGGAUCAGCAAGUCAGAUGUGAAAUCUCAGAGCUCAACUCUGAAACUGCGUCUGAAACUGCUAGUCUAGAGUGUCGGAGGGGGCAGGGGAAUUUCACGUGUAGGGGUAAAAUCCGUAGAGAUGUGAAGGAACACCGGGGGCGAAGGCGCCUGCCUGGACGACUACUGACGCUGAGGCGCGAAAGCGUGGGGAGCAAACAGG
rnacentral:rRNA from 1 species